AUCCCUCAAUGGCUGGAGAACCAGGGAAACAGUACCUGCUCAAUCGUAGAAGCUGGCAGUGUGAGAACAAGAGAGACCAAUGGUGCAGCCCCAGUUUGAGGCUGACAGCCUGGGACCUACCUGGAGAGUUGCUGGUGGUGUGAGUCUGAGUUUGGAGGCUGGAGAAUCUGCAGUCGAAUGACAGGGGUGGGGGUGAUGCAACAGCGAAAAACAGCCUUCAAGGAGGCGAGCUCCCUCCUCCUGCUUUCCAUUCCACGCCGACCCCAGCCUAUUGGACGGUGCCGCCCACAUUCUGCUCAAGGACCCCUGUGCCAAUCUUCUCUGGGAACACCCUCAAAGACUCACCCAGAAAUGUGACCUACAAUUUUCUAGGCAUCUCUCAGUCCAGGCGGGUGACAACCAAGAGAAAUCAUCACAAAAAUGGCUUCUUAACUCUCAGAAGGACGCUGCAGUCCAGGCACCUCACUUUGUGUCCUGACAGCUUGAGAGAUGUUCACUUAUUUAAACCUUCAAACAUACCAUCAAGUAUCAUUACAAGCGAGAAACCCCCAACCUGUUAGAUGCGCUGAGUUCGUGUUUCAGGAUCCUGAAGAAUGGACUCAAGGACAAAGGAGGUGAACAGUAGGAAGAGUUUUAUCAAGGGAAAGUUUGUGAGAGACAGGAGG
rnacentral:lncRNA from 1 species